CCUACGGGAGGCAGCAGUGGGGAAUAUUGCUCAAUGGGCGCAAGCCUGACGCAGCGAAGUCGCGUGAGGGAUGACGGUCCUCGGAUUUGUAACCUUCUUUUGUAGGGAAGAACGGUCACUCUGCUAUUCAGCAGUGAAUUGACGGUACCUGCAAAGGAAGCACCGGCUAACUCCGUGCCAGCAGCCGCGGUAAUACGGAGGGUGCGUGCGUUAAUCGGAUUUAGUGGGCGUAAAGCGCUCGUAGACGGUAUGUGAAGUCAAGGGGUAAAUGUCCGCGCUCAACGUGUGAACUGCCUUUGAAACUGGCAAACUGGAGUGUGUGAGAGGUAAGCGGAAUUCGAGGUGUAGGGGUGAAAUGCAUAGAUAUCUCGAAGAACAUCAAUGGCGAAGGCGGCUAACUGGCACUUAACUGACGCUGAGGAGCGAAAGCGUGGGUAGCAAACAGGAUUAGAUACCCUUGUAGUC
rnacentral:rRNA from 1 species